CCUGGGGAAAAUGGAAAAUGAAGGAAAAUCACCAAAACCUUAUGCACAAAAGUUUUGCAAACCGCCUUAAAAAGUUUAUAUCUCAGGAAGGGCAAUGUGAAAGUGCUUUCGAGUUCACAGGGGAAUUCACUGGAGACACUGGGAUAAGAUCUCUGAAAGGACGAUUAAUAGGAUACAUUAUCUUCCAAAUGCAAAUGCCUUUGGGAAGGAGAAUAUUUUAAGUCUUAUCAGUCGUUUAUGCCUUAGUGAGUAAG